UACGGGGGGGGCAAGCGUUGUUCGGAUUCAUUGGGCGUAAAGGGUGCGUAGGUGGCGGGGUAAGUCUGGUGUGAAAUCUCGGAGCUCAACUCCGAAACUGCACUGGAUACUGCCUUGCUCGAGUACUGGAGAGGAGAUUGGAAUUUACGGUGUAGCAGUGAAAUGCGUAGAUAUCGUAAGGAAGACCAGUGGCGAAGGCGAAUCUCUGGACAGUUACUGACACUGAGGCACGAAGGCCAGGGGAGCAAACGGG
rnacentral:rRNA from 1 species